UUAAGCGACUAAGCGUACACGGUGGAUGCCCUGGCAGUCAGAGGCGAUGAAGGACGUGCUAAUCUGCGAAAAGCGUCGGUAAGGUGAUAUGAACCGUUACAGCCGGCGAUGUCCGAAUGGGGAAACCCAGUGCAAUUCGUUGCACUAUCGUUAACUGAAUACAUAGGUUAACGAGGCGAACCGGGGGAACUGAAACAUCUAAGUACCCCGAGGAAAAGAAAUCAACCGAGAUUCCCCCAGUAGCGGCGAGCGAACGGGGAGCAGCCCAGAGUCUGAAUCAGCUUGUGUGUUAGUGGAACGGUCUGGAAAGUCCGACGGUACAGGGUGAUAGUCCCGUACACCAAAAUGCACAGGUUGUGAACUCGAAGAGUAGGGCGGGACACGUGGUAUCCUGUCUGAAUAUGGGGGGACCAUCCUCCAAGGCUAAAUACUCCUGACUGACCGAUAGUGAACCAGUACCGUGAGGGAAAGGCGAAAAGAACCCCGGCGAGGGGAGUGAAAAAGAACCUGAAACCGUGUACGUACAAGCAGUGGGAGCACCUUCGGGUGUGACUGCGUACCUUUUGUAUAAUGGGUCAGCGACUUAUAUUCUGUAGCAAGGUUAACCGUAUAGGGGAGCCGCAGGGAAACCGAGUCUUAACUGGGCGUUAAGUUGCAGGGUAUAGACCCGAAACCCGGUGAUCUAGCCAUGGGCAGGUUGAAGGUUGGGUAACACUAACUGGAGGACCGAACCGACUAAUGUUGAAAAAUUAGCGGAUGACUUGUGGCUGGGGGUGAAAGGCCAAUCAAACCGGGAGAUAGCUGGUUCUCCCCGAAAGCUAUUUAGGUAGCGCCUCGUGAAUUCAUCUUCGGGGGUAGAGCACUGUUUCGGCUAGGGGGUCAUCCCGACUUACCAACCCGAUGCAAACUACGAAUACCGAAGAAUGUUAUCACGGGAGACACACGGCGGGUGCUAACGUCCGUCGUGAAGAGGGAAACAACCCAGACCGCCAGCUAAGGUCCCAAAGUCACAGUUAAGUGGGAAACGAUGUGGGAAGGCACAGACAGCCAGGAUGUUGGCUUAGAAGCAGCCAUCAUUUAAAGAAAGCGUAAUAGCUCACUGGUCGAGUCGGCCUGCGCGGAAGAUGUAACGGGGCUAAACUGUGCACCGAAGCUGCGGCAGCGACACUAUGUGUUGUUGGGUAGGGGAGCGUUCUGUAAGCCUGCGAAGGUGGCCUGUGAGGGUUGCUGGAGGUAUCAGAAGUGCGAAUGCUGACAUAAGUAACGAUAAUGCGGGUGAAAAGCCCGCACGCCGGAAGACCAAGGGUUCCUGUCCAACGUUAAUCGGGGCAGGGUGAGUCGACCCCUAAGGCGAGGCCGAAAGGCGUAGUCGAUGGGAAACAGGUUAAUAUUCCUGUACUUGGUGUUACUGCGAAGGGGGGACGGAGAAGGCUAUGUUAGCCGGGCGACGGUUGUCCCGGUUUAAGCAUGUAGGCGGAGGUUCCAGGUAAAUCCGGUACCUUUUAACGCUGAGGUGUGAUGACGAGGCACUACGGUGCUGAAGUAACAAAUGCCCUGCUUCCAGGAAAAGCCUCUAAGCAUCAGGUAACAUUGAAUCGUACCCCAAACCGACACAGGUGGUCAGGUAGAGAAUACCAAGGCGCUUGAGAGAACUCGGGUGAAGGAACUAGGCAAAAUGGUGCCGUAACUUCGGGAGAAGGCACGCUGAUAUGUAGGUGAAGUCCCUGCGGAUGGAGCUGAAAUCAGUCGAAGAUACCAGCUGGCUGCAACUGUUUAUUAAAAACACAGCACUGUGCAAACACGAAAGUGGACGUAUACGGUGUGACGCCUGCCCGGUGCCGGAAGGUUAAUUGAUGGGGUUAUCCGUAAGGAGAAGCUCUUGAUCGAAGCCCCGGUAAACGGCGGCCGUAACUAUAACGGUCCUAAGGUAGCGAAAUUCCUUGUCGGGUAAGUUCCGACCUGCACGAAUGGCGUAAUGAUGGCCAGGCUGUCUCCACCCGAGACUCAGUGAAAUUGAACUCGCUGUGAAGAUGCAGUGUACCCGCGGCAAGACGGAAAGACCCCGUGAACCUUUACUAUAGCUUGACACUGAACAUUGAGCCUUGAUGUGUAGGAUAGGUGGGAGGCUUUGAAGCGUGGACGCCAGUCUGCGUGGAGCCAACCUUGAAAUACCACCCUUUAAUGUUUGAUGUUCUAACGUUGGCCCCUAAUCGGGGUUGCGGACAGUGUCUGGUGGGUAGUUUGACUGGGGCGGUCUCCUCCCAAAGAGUAACGGAGGAGCACGAAGGUUAGCUAAUCCUGGUCGGACAUCAGGAGGUUAGUGCAAUGGCAUAAGCUAGCUUGACUGCGAGCGUGACGGCGCGAGCAGGUGCGAAAGCAGGUCAUAGUGAUCCGGUGGUUCUGAAUGGAAGGGCCAUCGCUCAACGGAUAAAAGGUACUCCGGGGAUAACAGGCUGAUACCGCCCAAGAGUUCAUAUCGACGGCGGUGUUUGGCACCUCGAUGUCGGCUCAUCACAUCCUGGGGCUGAAGUAGGUCCCAAGGGUAUGGCUGUUCGCCAUUUAAAGUGGUACGCGAGCUGGGUUUAGAACGUCGUGAGACAGUUCGGUCCCUAUCUGCCGUGGGCGCUGGAGAAUUGAGGGGGGCUGCUCCUAGUACGAGAGGACCGGAGUGGACGCAUCACUGGUGUUCGGGUUGUCAUGCCAAUGGCAUUGCCCGGUAGCUAAAUGCGGAAGAGAUAAGUGCUGAAAGCAUCUAAGCACGAAACUUGCCCCGAGAUGAGUUCUCCCUGAGACUUUAAGUCUCCUGAAGGAACGUUAAAGACGAUGACGUUGAUAGGUCGGGUGUGUAAGCGUAGCGAUACGUUGAGCUAACCGAUACUAAUGAACCGUGAGGCUUAACCUU
rnacentral:rRNA from 2 species